AUUUUCUAGAUUUUUAUACAUAUUUAAAGUCUAAAUAUUUUUUACAAUGAGGAGGACAACACUGUUUUUAAAAUGAUUAUUUUGUUUUGAAGACAGUAUUUUUAAGAAAAUUACAUGUAGACUAAUAAAGUAAUACAUCCAUGGAAAACAGAGAAGUCAGUUUUGAAUUAUUAAGCCUGAUCACAUAUUCUAUUUGCCCAUCAUUCAGAAUAUUUUUUCAAAUGGUUUCAAUAUAAUAAAGCCUUAAAUGUUUUGCUCCAAGCAUUCCUGAUUUGAUUUUUCACACAUCGUGCAUUUUAAGAGCUGUUCAUCUGAUUGCUUUUUGUUCAUUUAAACUUAUCUCAUCAAAAUGCAAAAUUUAUAAGAGCUAUUUCAUCCCCCCAAAACAUUUAAGUCUAAUUUAUUUUCUAAUUUUUCUUAGAAAAAGGAAAACAAAUUUUACUAAAAGUAAAUGAACUUAAGCUACAAAAGUUUGAGCCUGACACAGAAAUAAGUUAAACAUCAUGAGACUGAAAAGCACCCAGGCCUUCAAUUCUUAAUUCAAAAGGUUUAUUUACCCACAUACGAUUAACACUCAGAACAGCUUUUCUUCUCUCUUAGAUCUUAUAUUCCACAUUCUUCUGUAACAUAGCAAAUGGAUGGCGACCUUGCUCCUAGGAAACAGGUGGAAAUCUGCCAUAAGCCUGUGACUGACCUGGGCGCUGAUUCAACUUCAUUCUUUCCUCUUUCUCAGUGUUUGGUGCUGGCCAUGGUUUCUUCAAGGUCUCUUCUUAAUUAAGAUCUUGCUACCUGAUCUUCAGCCUCAUUUUCUGCAGAGUAGGUUCUGAGCUUGCUUGCUCCUCACACAGACUGGAUUUCCACAACAAGCCACACUGAAUCAGCAGACUCCAAAGUCACCAUUCUCCUGGUCUGUCUUCCACCUGAAGACGGCUUUGUCCUGAAGCUCUCUCCUGUCUCAUAUACUGGGAACCAAAGCCUGUCCUGCUUGCCAUUUCCCUCCUUCUCUUUCUCCAAUCCUGUGAUUUCAAGUCCAUCAAAUCUCUCAUUUAGUUUCAAGACUCUUGACACUAAACUUACUAAUUCCUCUAUCUAAAACGUCCUUUGAAAUUGUCCGUCUACCACACCUAGCAAAUACUUCGUUGAAUGUCAAGACUCAAUUUAAUCACCUCCUCCCUAGGGACUUCUAAUCUCUCUAGUAGAGUACAUGUCCACUUUCUUCUCUGAGCAACCCCCCUCCCACACACAGUGACACACACAGACACACAGACACACGCACACACAUGGGCUAUUUCUCUUAUGUUGGCAUUACUUGUUUACAUGUCUUUCUUCUCGACCAGACGCUAAGCUCCUUAAAGACACGCCAUGCCUCACUUGUCUACAUGUACUCAGUACCUCCUCGAGACAGGCAACAGUCAUAACAUAUUCUCCAUAAGUCUGUUGGGUGAAUUAAAUAUGGCCUAUCAGGAGGCUUAUCUUGAUUUUUAGACACUAUCCUUGGUAUGGUAACCUUCUCUUAGCCUACAUUCAGCUAUAUGUGAGUAGGCUAAAGAGCCUGGAAUUUAUACAAUGGUCAGUUGGGAGACACUGCACUUUCAGAGGCCGGGAACUCUCGUAUCAGAUGGUACUUUGGAAAAGUCUGGAAAUAACAUCCAGAAGUGACUGAGACCUGAGAGGAAUUUAGCUGUUACCCAACCUCGCCUGGGAUGACAAGUUUCUACAGUAAGAUGGUGACAAUAAAAGAUAGAGAAGGAAAAAAAAAAUCUCUAAGAUGUCCCACAAUGCAUGUCAGGAAUAGUCAGGAAAAGGUUUGAUGGGCCCCCCUCUGCACAUGCAAAAACACAGUACUGUGUUAGGGAACAAAUAAAAAAUUCUAUAUAUAUAUGCAUGUGUGUGUGAGUGUGUGUGUGUAUAUAUAUGUAUUUAUGUAUAUAUAUAUAUACACACACACACAUAUGCACUUAUAUAUAGAGGUGCUACAUCUGCAGCAAAUUCUCAAGGGCUUAUUGAAACCAGUGGCUUUCCUACUCCUUCAAAGACUGCUCCUCUCCCCUCAAAAUGUGAGAUACUUAUGACUCAGUUAGAUGUACUAAAAACACAGUGGGCUGCCAAGCAUACUCGCUGAACUGAGAAUACAUUAAUAUUCCAUGCUUCUUGGGUACAAGGUUGGAGUCAAUGCCAGAAAUGGCUCUUCCUUAUAAGAGCCAAAAGUUCCAUCACAGGUUCAAUAAGGGUGUCAUCACUAAGUUAAGAUGCUGUUACAAAGGCUAAUAAGAGGAUUAAAUACAUUAAAAAGAGGGCCAAGACUCAUACAAAUUUGAUUUCCUUUCCCCAAAAGAAUACCAAGCAUCUGAGAUAUAGGAGGUUAAGUGAAGGGCAAAAGAGAUGCCUAGAUUCAUUUAUAAGUGAUUUACUUUUGGAGAGAUUUUGAAAGAUUAUUUAACUUAGAAUGAAGAGUAAAAUAUUCAAGGCAGUUUUAUGCUAAUUAAUGAAAAAGUGGAAAUGGAUAUUAAAUUUCUAACUCACCAGCAUCAUGGACAAGACAAGAAAAGAAAGCCAAUUUUCGGUUUUUCUGAGGAACUUCUUACAUAAUUUAUAGAUCUUUAUAUACAAAGAUACACUUUAAAACUGGACUUUAAGAAGUUUUUUCAAUUAAUAUAGUUGGGUAAAGUAAAGAAAAUAGGCUUACAUGAACUAUCUACACAUUUUUCUUCAAUUUACUUCUGGAAUACUGUUAUGAGAGGACUGGCCAAAAUUGUGAUGCAAAAGUUGGCCAAAAAAAUCCAAAGGAAGGAAAAUAAUUUCUUCUCAGAACUAAGCAGAAGACCUUAGUUGUAAAAGUCAAAAACGUAAACAGAUAAAAAUUUAAAUUAUUAAUUUCUAAACACAGAGUGCUAACUACUACAGUCAAGUCAUUUUUCCCUGUGGUUGAGUCUCUUAACUAUAAAACAUAAAUAAACGGAUGAAUCUCUUUGAUGACAUUAUUAAGUAUUUCACACCUUACAUAUCAGUCGGUGAAGAGAGCACUGAAGCACAGAAGAACAAGAUUAUGUUUGCAAAACAGGGCUUGUAGGAAUAAGUCUUGUCCUUCUACAAAGUUCCGAAUCCUUUAUAGGUCUUCAAAUUUGUAAGAAUUAGGCUUAAAUACUUUUAAAUGGAAAGCAAAAUACACUGGAAUAAAACGCAUGUCUAUAUGACUUUAAACAUCAAAUGUGAACAUAUUUUCUGUAUCAUCUGGUUAAUAUGCUGGCUUCAGAACUUAACAAUUCUGAGGAUAACAUAUGCUGAUUAUGGUCCAUGUGUUGUUGUUUUUUUUUUUUUUUUCACAUGGUUUACUCUGCCAUAUAGACAUUCCAAGUGCCCCUGAAAAAAAAAAAAGAUGUUAUGACUAGAAAUCCAUUUCUAGAAACAAGUUCACGCUCAAAUUUGCAUGACAACGUCUAGAAUGUUUUAUCCCUCUUAAAACCAGAGUCACAGCUCUUAAAAUCACUUCUUGCACUUUAAUAAACAGAGUCCAAGCUGAUGGUUACAUGGUUUGUGUUUAUCUUAAAAGCUCAUGAAUCCCACAGAAGACUUACGGCCAUAUUGAGUAAGGGGGGGGUCCCCAAAAACUUACUGGUUAUUUUUUAAAUGGUACCUUGCCUGUCUCUAAACAAUAUGAAACUCAACAGCAAGAACAAUAAUCCUUUAAAGUGAUAUUUUGCUCUACACCUAAGCCAAAUUCAAAGAUGAUAUCUAUGAAAAUAUGAUCAUUGUAUGUUGCAAAACCUAGAUAAAGUUUCAGGGUUUGGCCAGCCUCCGAGGUAAGCAGCAAAGAUAAAUAUUGCGCAACUACUAAUCUGUAAAGAAUUCCGUGUGGAUUUCAUGGUUCCAGCUUCUAGACUCCCCUUUCCUUGCACACUAACACAAAUAAAUAAACAAGUAAACAAAUAAAAACCAUACCUGUGAAAGAAUAGAGUGCUUUAAUACCCAAAAGAGCUGACUGGCAGUGAGAGAACAAGUAUAUUCCUAAAGGUUUUCCGUAAAUUGCAUAAUGGUUUCUCACUGACAAACCCAACAAUUAUUCCUGAGAUGGAUGUGUUGAUUUAGCAACGCUCUAUCACUCAGAAUGCCCCUGUUUAUGCUUUUCCUCUCCCACGGGGCCGUCAUUCUCGGGAGUUAUCCCUCUGCACGAGCAGCGAGACCCAUAUCGGAAAGAGAUACCAAUUAAGCAAGUUAUUCUAUAAAACAAAGAAAGUUUUUAAAAACAGAAAUAAAGCAAACCUCAGGAAAGUCAUGCAAACAUAUAAUCUACUACCAAGAAAACUUGAAAUCUGUGAAAAUCUCCACUGAUUGAAGUACUUGAAGUUUCAGUGGAGUUCUGUUGCUAGAGCUGACUCUAUUUACGCCUGUCUGGAGAGAGAACGUGGAAUAAUGCGUGCAAAGUAUUAUCUGAUACAUCUUUAAAGUCCCUCCGUCAACUAGUAAAUAAACAAAGGCAACUGCUAAGGUUUUCACUAUGUUGAUUCCUGCCCUGCCCGUAUAAGAGUUUGAACAUAACUGGUGAGUGAGUGUCCUGGGAGUCUCAGAACACCAAGAAAAACUGUGUAAUCCUUUCCGAUGUGAUUGUGAUUUAAAAGGGGGAAAUCUCUGUGAGGGUCCAGAAGCUGAGUUUUAAUUUUAUGGCUUCUGCAUCCUAAAUCACAUAGCAAGAGGCAAACAGGACCUUUAAUUAAGUAAAUGGGUUUUGUUUUUCCUGAAACAGAAAGAGAAGCUCUGUAAAAGUGAACGUGUUUGGAGGAGAAAAAGAGAGAGAGAAGGAAAGAAUAUGGCAAAAGAUACCUGAAAUAAAGUUUACAAUGGAAGGAAUUUAUAUUGAUUAUUUAUUGAGUUAGGUUGAGUUCGUAGGCACUUGGUGAUUCUGCAGACGCGCUCCUUGACAGCAAAGUCCUAGGGAUCCAACAGUCAUAUAAAAGGUGGCUCAUGCAGAAUGCCACAUGCAGCAAACCGUAUCCACGUGGAGGAAGGAUGUGACUUAUUCAUUUGCUACUUGAGUAAAAAGACAUAUUCGGAUAGAAGCAUAAAGCAAGCAUCCUCUGGCAUCCGUUAGACUCUGGGGUUACACUUGUCCCUGGCAUAAGCACUAGCAUUACUUCUUGACCUGGUGGCAACGAUUAGAAAUAGAAGCAAGGUAUCAAGAACAGGUGACAGUCCUUCCCUCAAACAGAAAAAUGGCAACACAACCAGUGAUAAUCAGAGUAAAUAUUACAUUAUUUUCAUGGAAAGCAUAGAUUAAUCUGAUAAUUAUUACAGAUACAUAACAUGUAAUUGAAUAUCAGCAUAAUGAUUAUCAGUCUGGUUACAGUGAUUUACCUUUAAGGAUACUGGAAUAAAUCUAUUUGACAAUUACAAAGGGGUCUGUCUCAUACAGAAGCACAGAAAGACAACAGUCUUGAGCAAAAUGAAACCCUUACUAACUUGAAUUAUCAUGCAGAAAAAAGGGAGGAAAAUUGUCAUUAUCUAUGUUGCAAGGAGAUUAAACAUCUCUCUUAUAACUUGCGCUCUCAAUAUCACAAAUAAAUAGAAACUUUUCAUAUUUCCUCUGGGAAAAAAUUAGGUAGCAAGAUGAAUUUAUCUGAGCUAAAUGAGUCUUGCUGACAAAGAAGCCACGUGAUAUUCUUGACUUGGAAAGUGAAUAAGACAAUAACCUGAGGGGACGGGAUGCAAAUUUCCUCGGUGAGGAGGGAAUGAUUGGACGGUAACGUUAACAACAACAAGGACAGCAAAAUAGCAGCAAUGUGAAACUGGGGUUGUUCAAAACCACGGCGUGUCCCAGGACAGAGGGGAUGUCACCAUGCUCUCAGGCCGGCGGGCGCUUCAUCCCCUUUGCUCUGUCGGAGCAGAGCUCAGUUUUCUGCGGCAUUCACGCCGUACUCUAAACACAGCACCUGGCAGGGUCCUCGGCACGGGGUGGGCGCCCAGCCAGUUGUGGCUGUUGUCACUGUGGCUGUCCUCCACCGUCCGUCUCCCCGUCCCUCCACGAACUCUACCGUCAUCACUCUGGCUCACCACGCUGAUCCUGGUCGGCCCCGGCUGGCGUUCUGUCAAAAUCUGUGACUGGGAAGCUACCUAAGCGUUAGUGUUGUCUACAGAGUCUCAUGAGCCAGAAGGCAGCACCGACAGUACAGAGACUUCACACUGGGCAAACCCACGCAGUCAGAAAAUCCCACCACCAUACUCUCUUGCCUUCUCCUUUCCUUGAAUGUAGACCCCUUACAUCUUGGUUGCAUUUACUCUUUUUCUUGAUUUAGAUGGACAACUGGAGUGUGAGGUGUUGGGCGGCGUGGC
rnacentral:lncRNA from 1 species